CUGAACGCCUCAAUCAGGACCUUGAAGCCACUCUCCGCUGUUUCACAUCCUCCAAUCCUUCCGACUGGUUCCAGUAUCUUCCUUGGGUAGAGUAUGCUCACAAUUAUCACGUCUCAUCCUCCACAGGCUUAUCGCCAUUCGAAGCAUCCAUUGGCUACCAACCACCCCUGUUGCCGUCCGAUGAGGAAGACAUCUCAGUCACUUCUGUCCGUCACCACAUCCGUCGCUGCCACAAGAUGGCACCAUCAGUUUGACGGAGGGCGUGGAUGACGUCAUCUCCCACACCGGCCUCGGAUUAGCUCAUCAGCGACAGGUUUUGAGGAGCGGUCUACCAGUCCUUCGGCGCCUGAGUGUUGCCCAGUUUUGUCUCCCCUUGGAUUUCCUCGACUGGAAGACGCGCCGUUUCUCGCUCCUCCCGGAUCCCGAGCCUACCUGUCUGCCCUCCAGCGCGCACACGCCCCACCCAAACCCCAGAGAGACCGGACCCUGGACCCAGCAGCCACCCGCCGCUAGCUUUUCCCGGCUCUACUCAAAUAAGAUCUGUCCAGUGUUAUCGACACUCCACUUUCCCACAGCCUUCGAACUCACCUUUCCUGCUCUGUACUCCUAGUGAGCCGAUCGCUUCCUGA